AAAUAUUGUCCAGCCUAGUAAUUAAAUCCGACCGUACUUUUUCUUUAGUAUAUAGAGGAAACAAAAUUAAUAACAAAGAAGUCAAGAAGGAAAAAUUUGUCAAGUUCAAUACUCUUUCGUUUUUAAAAUCUUGGAAAGAAUCUCCUCCAUCCAACCAGAUUGUUCUAAAGUCAAUCUUUCAUGAAUGAUGAAAAGCUUCAAUUUCAGAUAUCCUUUUUUAUAGAGCAAAUCCUCUUGGCAAUUAAACCCCCAAGUAAUCCUCGCUACUCCUCCUUUCUUCUUGGAACUUCAUCAAUUUGGCAAAGUCUAUCUCCUUCUUGACAUAGGGAAUUGAUUACGUCAAGAUUGUUUUGUCUUCCCUCAAUAUCAUAUCUACAUAGAAUUACAGGGGAAAUGACCGUAGAUCUUGGACUUUGUCAAAGUAUCUUUUAUUAUUUAAAAAAACCAUUCAAUCGUUAAUUUCACUAGAGCGUCAUAUUCAUAUUGUGAUUGAUGAAGUGUAUACAAAUCAAAGAGGUGAAUUUAGCGGAGGAAAAUGGACAAAUAACGAAAACUGUAUUAGCCAUUAUGAUCAAAAGUAUUACUCGCCUUUUGAAGACAUGAUCGCUUUACUUUCUGUUAAUAAAAUUUCUCUAGAAUUUCAAUGGAAUAUUCUAACAUAUGCCAUCAAAAGAUUUGAUAUACUCAGUACAUUUUUGUCAGUUAUCCUACAAAUAGAUCAAUGAUGAAAAACUUUAUAUCGAAAGGACAAACUAAAACAUUGUUUAUUAAUCCUUUUAAAUAUAAUUUUUGAUAUGGUACAUAAUUGGAAUAACAUUUGAAAGAAUUUGGAAAGAAAAACUAUAUUCAUUUCCCCACCCUUUGAAGAAGGAGAAUCAACUUUCAAGCUCACCUACAAUCACGUUAAAAAUUUUUUUGAUUUAGAACAGGGAAAAAGCCUUAAGUUCCCUCACAAAUUAACUAUAAAAGCUGUACAUCCAAACAAUAUGGAAAAAAUGAAUGUUAAAUUAUGUGAUGCAAUUUUUCACGGAAGCACUAUUAUUGCCUUAAAGAUGGUUCUUAAAAACUGGAAUGUGGAUGAUACCAUCAAAUUUUGUUCCAUAAUUCACAAAUUAAUAAAUAUUACAAAUGUGAAAACAAAAUACGCUGGGAAUAAAAAUCGUGAUCCAAUAAAAUCUCCUAUUUAUAAUAUUAA
rnacentral:lncRNA from 1 species